GCUACAAAUCCGGGGAUAAGACUGGGGGGAUUGGAUCUCUCAAGCAGUAGGAGAGGUGCAGAUUUGCCUUCAGCCUAUUUCUUUCCCUGGCAGGAGUGGCCAUUGGCUUAGCAGGUGAUACCUGGUUACAGUUCAAAAUAUCUUUGAAGGAGACAAUAGUCAGUCUACUAUAAAUCAAGAUUAAAGUUGGUGUUUGAAAGUACUAUGUGAUGUAAGAGACCAGAACCUAGCAUAAUUGUCAUCAGAGACGCUUCAUCCAGAAACUGGUGGGAACAGAUGCAGAGACCCACAGCCAACAAUUAGGCUGAGUUUGGAGAGUCCUGUGAAAGAAGGGGAGAAAGGAUUAUAGGAACCAUAGCAGUAGAGGAUGCCAGGAGAACACACCCUGCACAAUCAACUAAGCAGGGCUCAAGGGGGCUCACAGAGACUGAAGGGGCAAUCACAGAGCCUGCAUUGGUCUGUGCUAAGCCUUCUGCAUAUAUGUUUUGGUGGUGUAGCUUGGUAUUAUUGUGGAACUCCUAACAGUGGAAGUGGGGUGUCUCUGACUCUUUUGCCUGCUCUUGGAACCCUUUUCCUCCUACUAGGUUGCCUCAUCCAGCCUUGAUAUGAGGGUUUGUGCCUGGUCUUAUUGCAAAUUGUUAUGUCAUGUUCAGUUGAUAUUCCUGGGAAGACCUGCUCUUUUCUGAAGGGAAACAGAGAGGAAGUGGAUCUGGGAAAGAGGUGGUGGGGUGCUGGGAGGAGAGGAGGGAUGUACUGUAUGAGAGAAGAGUAAAAAAAUAAUAAUAAGAGAUCAGAUCUCUUUCUUCAACCAUACAACCUCAAAUUCAUUUCUAUGAGUUGUGUUCCUCAUUAUUAUUACAAAAUACCCGAACUUAAUGAAAGGUUUGUCUUGGUGCAUAGUCUAUGGUGGAAGCAGGAUUCUGAGGAGGCAGCAGGUCACAUCAUAUUCACAGUCUGGAAGCAGAGAAUGCUGUCAUGACAAGGUAGGUCUUUCCAGCUCAGUCAGCCUAAUCUAGAUAACCCCAAACAGACAGCCCAGAGGCUGACCUAAUCAGCUAGAUAUCCCCUCAAAGACACCCCAAAGGUUUGUCUCCUAGGUGAUGGUAGAUCCUGUACAUUCAUAAUAUUAACCACUUAAUGUACAGAUACAAUUCAUUAUUUCAAAUUCAACAGAUGAUUGUGUGUUGUUCAGAAUCCCUUCCUUUACAUCUCCCUGGGAACCCCAUGUGGAAGAAACAUAUGGCAGAGAGCUUGGGUGACAUCACAAGGCACGUGGGACAGGAAGAUGCAGAGCCAAGACUUUGUUUCUGUUCUUGUUGGUCUCUAUUGUUGGUUUCCAAUGAUGAGAACAGCUUUUUAACUGGUAAAGUUGGCAGGGCCUCAUGCUGACAGUGAGCUACAUCUAGCUUUAAGGAAUGCAUUUGUUUUCUUUUUCUAGAAGUACUUUUUGGAAGGUUAGAAUCCAUUUCUGUCAUAGUACUUCACAAGAAUCAAUUAUGAGUAUUUAAAAUUGUAUUUUAUUGUUUGUAAGAAGCAUUUUAAUAAACGCACUCUCAAGUGUGACAUAAUGCUGAUGAAAGACAUCAACAGCUCUCAGUUCUGCUUCUGAGUCAGCCAUGUGCUCACCUGGGGCAUCCCAUUAAUCAUCAUUAUGCCAUAGUCUGAGCUAUCAUAUUGCUUAAUUACCAUUUCUGUUACCUAUCCAUCUACUCUGCUAAUCGACACAAAAUAAAUUCAUCAAAUCCUGAGGCACUGAAGCAACAGUCUCCCUUGCCUUGCCAGAAUUGAACCCAAAAGCAGCUUAUCCGUAAAAUAUGAAGAGACACCAAGCUCUUGGAGCUCUUGGAAUAUUAAACUUAGCAAAUGCUGUCUACAAGAAAUCAUGUCUUCCUUUCUUCUUGGCUGACUUUAACCUUAUCCAUCUUUCAAGUCUCAGCUAAAUCCCUGAAUAUUCUGUGAAUUACCUUUUAAUUAUGGCCCUUAUUGCCAACAUCAUAAUCUAUAUCAAUUAUUAUAUUCUGCUCUUAUAGUUUUAUACUGAAUAUAUGGAUAUUAAUUCAGCUAUGCUAUAAAUUUCCCUAGGACAUUUCAUGUUUAGUGGCCUUUAAUAACU